rnacentral:ncRNA from 4 species
UACGAGAGGCCCAAACGUUAUUCGGAUUUACUGGGCUUAAAGAGUUCGUAGGCGGUUCGGUAAGUGAGGUGUGAAAUCCCUUGGCUCAACCAAGGAAUUGCGCUUCAAACUGCCGGGCUCGAGGGAGAUAGAGGUGAGCGGAACUGAUGGUGGAGCGGUGAAAUGCGUUGAUAUCAUCAGGAACACCAGAGGCGAAGGCGGCUCACUGGGUCUCUUCUGACGCUGAGGAACGAAAGCUAGGGGAGCAAACGGG